GAUGAACGCUGGCGGCGUGCCUAAUACAUGCAAGUCGAGCGAACAGAUAAGGAGCUUGCUCCUUUGACGUUAGCGGCGGAAGGGUGAGUAACACGUGGGUAACCUACCUAUCAGUCUGGAAAAACUCCGGGAAACCGGGGCUAACGCAGGAUAAACUGUUGAACCGCAUGGUUCUACAGUGAAAGGCGGCUUUGCUGGCAGUUAUAGCUGGAGCCGCGCCGUUUUAGGCGGUUGGGGCAGUAACGGCUCACCAAGGCGACGCUACGUAGCCGACCUGAGAGGGGGAUCGGCGACACUGGAACGUGGACGCGGUCCUUGCGCCUACGGGAGGCACCAGUAUGGAAUCGUCCGCAAUGGGCGAGAUCCUUACGGAGCAACGCGGCGUGAGUGAUGAAGGUCUUCGGAUCGGAAAACUCUGUUAUUAGUGAUAAACAAAUGCGUAAGGAACUGUGCGCGUCGUGACGGUACCUAAUCAGAAAGCCACGGCUAACUACGUG
rnacentral:rRNA from 1 species